UAGGGAAUCUUCGGCAAUGGACGAAAGUCUGACCGAGCAACGCCGCGUGAGUGAAGAAGGUUUUCGGAUCGUAAAACUCUGUUGUUAGAGAAGAACAAGGACGUUAGUAACUGAACGUCCCCUGACGGUAUCUAACCAGAAAGCCACGGCUAACUACGUGCCAGCAGCCGCGGUAAUACGUAGGUGGCAAGCGUUGUCCGGAUUUAUUGGGCGUAAAGCGAGCGCAGGCGGUUUCUUAAGUCUGAUGUGAAAGCCCCCGGCUCAACCGGGGAGGGUCAUUGGAGAAUGGGAGACUUGAGUGCAGAAGAGGAGAGUGGAAUUCCAUGUGUAGCGGUGAAAUGCGUAGAUAUAUGGAGGAACACCAGUGGCGAAGGCGGCUCUCUGGUCUGUAACUGACGCUGAGGCUCGAAAGCGUGGGGAGCAAACAGG
rnacentral:rRNA from 1 species